rnacentral:misc_RNA from 1 species
CCGAGUUAGGGUACUCUUCGUGCCCGACCUCCAACCCUUUGUCUACCUGACCAGAUGUUGCUUCGGCAGGCCCGCCGCCCCGCAAGGGGUAGCCGCCGGGGGCCCUUACCGGCUCCGGGUCGCGCCUGUCGAUGGCCCUCUAUAAACUCUUGGCUUAAACCGUGUCGUCUGAGUAAAACAACAAAUAAACA